rnacentral:rRNA from 1 species
AGACGGACCCCCUGCUCAGUAGCUAAAUGGUGAGGUAAGGGAUCACCAAGGCCACGAUGGGUAGCCGAACUGAGAGGGUGAGCGGCCACACUGGGACUGAAACCCGGCCCAAACUCCUACUGGAGGCAGCAGUAGGGAAUCUUCCGCAAUGGACGAAAGUCUGACGGAGCAACGCCGCGUGAACGAUGAAGGCUUUCGGGUCGUAAAGUUCUGUUGUCAGGGAAGAA